AACCACACUAUCAAUGAAUGGAUUCACCUGUGAUAUGACGUGGCUGUACCACUUAGGACGAGGACAUGGCAUCCAAUUAUCAGCCAUUGCACGAAAUUAAUAGGAUGCCACGUUCUCAUCUUAGGUGGAACAAGCACGUUAUCUCAUAGGUAAAUCCAUUCAUUGAUAGUGUGGUU
rfam:Oryza meridionalis cultivar OR44 (W2112) chromosome 2, whole genome shotgun sequence.